AUUGAACGCUGGCGGCAUGCCUAACACAUGCAAGUCGAACGGUAACAGGCCUAGCUUGCUAGGUGCUGACGAGUGGCGAACGGGUGAGUAACGCGUAGGAAUCUGCCUUAUAGUGGGGGAUAACCUGGGGAAACCCAGGCUAAUACCGCAUAAUGCUUAAGAGCUAAAGCGGGGGACUUUCGAGCCACGCGCUAUAAGAUGAGCCUGCGUCAGAUUAGCUAGUUGGUAGGGUAAAGGCCUACCAAGGCGAUGAUCUGUAGCUGGUCUGAGAGGAUGAUCAGCCACACUGGGACGGAGACGCGGCCCAGACUCCUACGGGAGGCAGCAGUGGGGAAUAUUGGACAAUGGGGGCAACCCUGAUUCAGCAAUGCCGCGUGUGUGAAGAAGGCCUUCGGGUUGUAAAGCACUUUCAGAGGGGAGGAAGGCUUCGUUGCGAAUAACAACGAAGAUUGACGCUACCCUCAGAAGAAGCACCGGCUAACUCUGUGCCAGCAGCCGCAGUAA
rnacentral:rRNA from 1 species